CCAAGGAGGCAGCAGGCGCGCAAAUUACCCCACUCCAGAMGGGGAGGUAGUGACGAAAAAUAACAAUACGGGACUCUUUUGAGACCCCGUAAUUGGAAUGAGUACACUCUAAAUCCUUUAACGAGGAUCCAUUGGAGAGCAAGUCUGGUGCCAGCAGUCGCGGUAAUUCCAGCUCCAAUAGCGUAUAUUAAAGUUGUUGCGGUUAAAAAGCUCGUAGUUGGAUCUCAGCUCCGGCCGGACGGUCCGCCUACCGGUGGUUACUGUUCGCAGCCGAGCGUUCAGGCGGUUAUUCUUGAUGAUCUUCACCGGUUGUCUCGGGUGACCGCCAAGUUUACUUUGAAAAAAUUAGAGUGCUCAACGCAGGCGUGACGCCUGAAUAUUUGUGCAUGGAAUAAUGGAAUAGGACCUCGGUUCUAUUUUGUUGGUUUUCGGAACACGAGGUAAUGAUUAAGAGGGACAGACGGGGGCAUUCGUAUUGCGACGCUAGAGGUGAAAUUCUUGGACCGUCGCAAGACGAACUACUGCGAAAGCAUUUGCCAAGAAUGUUUCCGUUAAUCAAGAACGAAAGUUAGAGGUUCGAAGGCGAUCAGAUACCGCCCUAGUUCUAACCAUAAACGAUGCCAGCCAGCGAUCCGGCUGUGUUCCUCAAAUGACACGCCGGGCAGCUUCCGGGAAACCAAAGCUUUUGGGUUCCGGGGGAAGUAUGGUSAA
rnacentral:rRNA from 1 species